AAAAUACUGUAUUCUAUGCUUCAAGUACUUAAAAUGAUUCAUACAUAAGUAACAAUUUGUAUAAUCCAAACUAUUAUAACAUUCAUUGUGCCACCAGCAAGUUGCUAAUGAACAAACUCCUAUGACAUUUUAGCAAAUUCAUUCUACAUUCCAAGACCAACAUUAUCGAAACGUUGUUCACUCUCCCUCAUAGACAACAUGUAACUCGCGCAAAUUAACAGAUUUGCUCACUCUAAAACUGUCAACAGGUGUCGAGAUUUUCACUAAUAUGCCCCUGAUGUAGAUGCCUUCAACUUCUUAGGUGGUGGAUUACCCCCAGAGAGUAUCACAUAAGAGUAGAAGCAGAACAUUGCAGCGCUGAUGGCAGCAAAGAAGCCAGUAGGGAACAAUUUUCCUGUCAGUGAGAAGGUCUGCAUAUUCUUCCACAGAAGGGUCGCAGCAAGUACUGCUUGACCCAAUAUGAACGGAAAGCUAGUUUUCCCUUCCCGCCACACCUUCAUGCUAAUGGUGCUGAGGGCCAAUAAUGCACCUCCAAAAAGAACACCACUGCUUAAUGUGGCAGGAUUUCUUGAGAAAAUAAAACCAAUAAAUCCUCCCGUGAAAACAAAACCACCAAAGGGAAUUCCUAAACAGAAAUCAUGAAUUUUUGCAGCCUUUUUUGGCUGGCUGCUGGAGUUCUCUUGCACUGACUCAUUUAUUUCUUUCUCAGAGACAUAUUCUUCUGGUGCAGAAUAUGAGUUUGAUGAAGUCCCAUUAAGUGAUUGCGAUGAAUCAGUUGCAUAACUUAAAGUGGUCCGGCUCUUUAAACUGGAUUCAUCUGUGCCAUGUACAUCGUUACUCAUAGAGAUUACCUUUAAGGAAAAAGUAGAACAUGGUUGCAAUGGUCGACUGUGAAACUGUACUAAUCUGCGAUUGAUUGAAGAAAAACAAGAAAGCUGAGAAAUUGCUAAAGACAUAGCUGCUUACUAUGGAUAUUGAAUCUUGAUUUGCUUCCAAAGAUUUUCCCAGCCUACAAAAAUCAAGAG
rnacentral:misc_RNA from 1 species